rnacentral:rRNA from 1 species
UGGGGUAUUUUGCACAAUGGGCGGAAGCCUGAUGCAGCGACGCCGUGUGGGGGAUGAAGGCCUUCGGGUUGUAAACUCCUUUCGUCAGGGACGAAGUUUGUUUGACGGUACCUGGAUAAGAAGCACCGGCUAACUACGUGCCAGCAGCCGCGGUAAUACGUAGGGUGCGAGCGUUGUCCGGAUUUACUGGGCGUAAAGGGCUCGUAGGUGGUGUGUUGCGUUGUCUGUGUAAUCCAGGGGCUUAACUUUUGGUUGGAAGGCGAUACGGGCAUUGCUUGAGUGCUGUAGGGGAGACUGGAAUUCCUGGUGUAGCGGUGAAAUGCGCAGAUAUCAGGAGGAGCACCGAUGGCGAAGGCAGGGCUCUGGGCAGUUACUGACGCUGAGGAGCGAGAGCAUGGGUAGCGAACAGG